UACGGAGGAGGCAAGCGUUAUCCGGAAUUAUUGGGCGUAAAGCGUCCGUAGGUGGUCAUGUAAGUCGGUCGUCAAAGCCAGAGGCUCAACCUCUGUCAGGCGGUGGAAACUGCAAGACUAGAGAGAGGUAGGGGUAGAGGGAAUUCCCAGUGUAGCGGUGAAAUGCGUAGAGAUUGGGAAGAACAUCGGUGGCGAAAGCGCUCUACUAGACCUUUUCUGACACUGAUGGACGAAAGCUAGGGGAGCGAAGGGG
rnacentral:rRNA from 1 species